UACGGGGGGGCAAGCGUUGUUCGGAAUUACUGGGCGUAAAGGGCGCGUAGGCGGUUGGAUAAGUCAGCUGUGAAAACCACGGGCUUAACUCGUGGCCUGCAGUUGAGACUAUCUGGCUUGAGUGUGGGAGAGGAGAGUGGAAUUCCUGGUGUAGCGGUGAAAUGCGUAGAUAUCAGGAGGAACACCGGUGGCGAAGGCGGCUCUCUGGACCACAACUGACGCUGAGGCGCGAAAGCUAGGGGAGCAAACAGG
rnacentral:rRNA from 1 species